UGAGGAAUAUUGGACAAUGGGCGCAAGCCUGAUCCAGCCAUGCCGCGUGCAGGAUGACGGUCCUAUUGGAUUGUAAACUGCUUUUGCACAGGAAGAAACAACAUUACGUGUAAUGUCUUGACGGUACUGUGAGAAUAAGGAUCGGCUAACUCCGUGCCAGCAGCCGCGGUAAUACGGAGGAUCCAAGCGUUAUCCGGAAUCAUUGGGUUUAAAGGGUCCGUAGGCGGUUUAGUAAGUCAGUGGUGAAAGCCCAUCGCUCAACGGUGGAACGGCCAUUGAUACUGCUAGACUUGAAUUAUUAGGAAGUAACUAGAAUAUGUAGUGUAGCGGUGAAAUGCUUAGAGAUUACAUGGAAUACCAAUUGCGAAGGCAGGCUACUACUAAUGGAUUGACGCUGAUGGACGAAAGCGUGGGUAGCGAACAGGAUUAGAUACCCUGGUAGUCCACGCCGUAAACGAUGGAUACCAGCUGUUGGGAGCAAUCUCAGUGGCUAAGCGAAAGUGAUAAGUAUCCCACCUGGGGGAGUACGUU
rnacentral:rRNA from 1 species